rnacentral:rRNA from 1 species
UUGGGGACUCUAGCGAGACUGCCAGUGAUAAACUGGAGGAAGUGGGGAUGACGUCAAAUCAUCAUGCCCCUUAUGACCUGGGCUACAAACGUGAUACAAUGGCUGAACAAAGGGCAGCGAAGCAGUGAUGUGGAGCGAAACCCAAAAAGCAGUCUCAGUUCGGAUUGAAGUCUGCAACUCGACUUCAUGAAGUUGGAAUCGCUAGUAAUCGUAGAUCAGAACGCUACGGUGAAUACGUUCUCGGGUUU